rnacentral:rRNA from 1 species
UGAGGAACAUGACUUUCGGUGGGGGAGUAGCCGGGCCCAACGGCCGGAUAAUACCGCGUACGACCUUUUGGGGACAUCCCUGAUUGGUGAAAGCAGCAAUGCGCCGAAAGAGUGCCUCGCGGCCUAUCAGCUAGUUGGUGGGGUAAUGGCUCACCAAGGCGACGACGGGUAGCUGGUCUGAGAGGAUGGCCAGCCACAUUGGGACUGAGACACGGCCCAGACUCCCGUAACGGGGAGCCAG